CCCCUCUCUAUUUAGUCCCCUCUCUAUUUUGUCUCCUUUCUAUUAAGACCCCUCUCCAUUUAGUCUGCUCACCAUUAAACCCCCCUCUCUAUUAUUAUCCCCCUCUUUAUUAAGGCCCCUAUCUGUAUUAAGCCUCCUCUCUAUUAAGCUCCCUCUCUGUUUAGUCCCUUCUCUGUUUAGCCUCUCUCUAUUAAGCCCCAUCUCUAUUAAGCCCCCUUUCUCUACCAAACCCCUUCUCUAUUAAGCCCCCUCUCUGUUAAGCCCCCUUUCUAUUUACUCCCUUACUAUUAAGUCCCUUCUCUAUUAAGACCCCUCUCUAUUAAGCCCCUUCCCCAUUAAGCCUCUUCUCUAUUAAGCCCCCCCCCCCCC